rnacentral:rRNA from 1 species
GAUGAACGCUAGCGGCAGGCCUAAUACAUGCAAGUCGGACGGGAUUCAGGAGCUUGCUUCUGAUGAGAGUGGCGCACGGGUGCGUAACACGUAUGUAACCUACCUUUAUCAGGGGGACAGCCUCUCGAAAGAGAGAUUAAGCCCGCAUAAAAUCACAGCACAGCAUUGUGUAAUGAUCAAAUAUUUAUAGGAUAAAGAUGGGCAUGCGGAACAUUAGCUAGAUGGCGGGGUAACGGCCCACCAUGGCAACGAUGUUUAGGGGAUCUGAGAGGAUGGCCCCCCACACUGGUACUGAGACACGGAGCAGACUACUACGGGAGGAAGCAGUAAGGACUAUUGGUCAAUGAGCGUAAGCCUGAACCAGCCAAGCCGCGUGCAGGAAGACAGCCCUACGGGUUGUAAACUGCUUUUAUACGGGAAGAAACCCAGAUACGUGUAUCUGGCUGAAUGUACUGUAAGAAUAAGGAUCGGCUAACUACGUG